rnacentral:rRNA from 1 species
AUUGAACGAGGGAGGAAGGAGGAACACAGGCAAGUCGAGCGGAUGAAGGGAGCUUGCUCCUGGAUUCAGCGGCGGACGGGUGAGUAAUGCCUAGGAAUCUGCCUGGUAGUGGGGGAUAACGUCCGGAAACGGGCGCUAAUACCGCAUACGUCCUGAGGGAGAAAGUGGGGGAUCUUCGGACCUCACGCUAUCAGAUGAGCCUAGGUCGGAUUAGCUAGUUGGUGGGGUAAAGGCCUACCAAGGCGACGAGCGGGAAGGGGUCUGAGAGGCUGCUCAGUCACACUGGAACUGAGACACGCACAAGACUCCUACGGGAGGGAGCAGUGGGGAAUAUUGGACAAUGGGCGAAAGCCUGAUCCAGCCAUGCCGCGUGUGUGAAGAAGGUCUUCGGAUUGUAAUCCCCGGUCAGGUUGGAGGAAGCGCAGUAAGUUAAUACCUUGCUGUUUUGACGUUACCAACAGCAUAAGACCCUUCUCCCUUCGUC